CCAUCUAGCAGCGGUACUAGCUAUUACUUUAUUGUACCGACUGGUAAGAUUAUGCUGUUAUCAUCAAAUGAUGGAAAUAUUUAAUUCACUUACCGACAAGUACAAUAUGUUUCUUCAUCUAGACGAAAGAAAAUACAUCGCGCUUGGACACAAUCAAGAUGGCCMCCUGCCAUUGUWUACUGCCACGUGCAAUAAAUGAUUAGUGCUCGGCAAUUCAGCUUAAGAAGAAAACCAUUGGAUUUGAUGUGUGAUAUCUUCUGAAG